UGGGGAAUAUUGGACAAUGGGCGCAAGCCUGAUCCAGCAAUGCCGCGUGUGUGAAGAAGGCCUGCGGGUUGUAAAGCACUUUAAGCGGGGAAGAAAGGUGGGGUGUUAAUACCAYCUCACAUUGACGUUACCUGCAGAAUAAGCACCGGCUAACUCCGUGCCA
rnacentral:rRNA from 1 species